rnacentral:siRNA from 1 species
AACAUCGGCGCUUGUUCACCUCUC